AUGCUUUCCUAGACACCAAUUAGAUCAAUUAAUCUAAUAUGACUCGCUCAUGUUGGUUCACUCUCGACUUGAUUGAGGAGGUUUUAAUUUAGGUCUCAAUUGGGUUUGCUACAUCACAUGUAAACCAAUCUACCCGACUCUCAUUCACAUCACAUGCAAACGGCACAUUGCAGGCAGUUAUAAUCGCAGCAAUAAUUAAAGCUAAACUUUGAAUAGGUGAUGAUCAUGGAUUCUAGUUAGGUCAUAUUACAAGCACAUGCAUGUCAAUCGAUCAACUGGUCUUCAACUCUUGAAUUUGUUCCAAGCCUCCUUGAUUCGAUCCUUGACCAACUCUUGAUCCAAUCGCUAUCAACCGCUUAGACCCCUGCUCAUCUCAUGCAUCAUCUUCGACUUGAUCGUUGACGUACAUCACAUCACAGAAAUACAACCAGAUAUAAAAUAAAAAUAAAAAUAAAUUACAUCUUCCUUUUAGGAGGCAC
rnacentral:lncRNA from 1 species